UCCCUGGCAGUCCAACGGGUAGGAUUUGGCACUUUCACUACUGUGGCCUGGGUUCAAAUCCUGGCCAGGGAA
rfam:Ovis aries breed Texel chromosome 14, whole genome shotgun sequence.